CAAUAAGCGGAGGAAAAGAAACUAACAAGGAUUCCCCUAGUAACUGCGAGUGAAGCGGGAAAAGCUCAAAUUUAAAAGCUGGCAGUCUUUGGCUGUCCGCGUUGUAAUCUAGAGAAGUGUUACCCGCGUUGGACCGUGUACAAGUCUCCUGGAAUGGAGCGUCAUAGAGGGUGACAAUCCCGUCUUUGACACGGACUACCAAGGCUUUGUGGUACGCUCUCAAAGAGUCGAGUUGUUUGGGAAUGCAGCUCAAAAUGGGUGGUAAAUUCCAUCUAAAGCUAAAUAUUGGCGAGAGACCGAUAGCGAACAAGUACCGUGAGGGAAAGAUGAAAAGAACUUUGGAAAGAGAGUUAAACAGUACGUGAAAUUGCUGAAAGGGAAACGCUUGAAGUCAGUCGCGUCGUCCGGAGAUCAACCUUGCUUUUGCUGGGCGUACUCUCCGGUUGAUGGGCCAGCAUCAGUUUUGGCCACUGGAAAAGGGCGGAGGGAAUGUGGCAUCUUCGGAUGUGUUAUAGCCCUCCGUCGUAUACAGUGGCUGGGACUGAGGAACUCAGCACGCCGAAAGGCCGGGAUUCGUCCACGUUCGUGCUUAGGAUGCUGGCAUAAUGGCUUUAAUCGACCCGUCUUGAAACACGGACCAAGGAGUCUAACAUGCCUGCGAGUGUUUGGGUGGAAAACCCGAGCGCACAAUGAAAGUGAAAGUUGAGAUCCCUGUCGUGGGGAGCAUCGACGCCCGGACCUGACCUUUUGUGACGGAUCUGCGGUAGAGCAUGUAUGUUGGGACCCGAAAGAUGGUGAACUAUGCCUGAAUAGGGUGAAGCCAGAGGAAACUCUGGUGGAGGCUCGUAGCGAUUCUGACGUGCAAAUCGAUCGUCAAAUUUGGGUAUAGGGGCGAAAGACUAAUCGAACCAUCUAGUAGCUGGUCU
rnacentral:rRNA from 1 species